UUAAACACGGUGGUUUGUGUAGGGCUAAUUCUCUUGGAUAAAAAGCCUGCACCAGACUCCUUUAGAUACUGGCACCAGACAAAUUGCAGUGCAUUUUGUCUUUUUUUUUUCUUUCUUUUUAAAUUUAGAUUGUAAGCCUCUCGUUGGGUGUAAACAAAAAUACUGAAAUGAGUAAGUGUAUAUUGGAAACACAGUUUGAGCAUUAGUGUGGUCGAAUAAAAGAGUUUGACUGAGACACACCAAUGCAAAAUGGCAAAGAAAAAAUCUUUAUUGGUUAAAUUGCUUUUCACAGAUUUGAUUAAUGUCCGUUUUUGUUUGAUUGCUCGUGGAUUCCCAUGGAAUGACAUUACAUCAGUUUUGUUCUGAUUUAAAACCCAAUUUGCACUAUUUACCAGAUGCAAAAUCUUGCCUUAGCCACUCAACAUCCCAAACCCAAGGAUUCUGUGAGAGCACUGUUUAAGUGUAGCGAUUAUACGCCUCAUAGUGUGUUGUAAAAUAAAUUAGUUACGUGCAUAACAGAGAACUUGUAGUCAUUUUUGCAUCAAAUAACACCCUAGCCAAAAUCUCAGUGCAAACACCAUUGUAGCUGAAAAAUCCAUGAGUCUCUGCAAAUGAGUACCAAUAUACUAUGAUGCACAAUUUGAAAAAUCAAAACAAAAAAUGUCCAUAAUGAAAUUUCAUCUACUAGUGUUUGGUAGUUGUGGAGCUACGCUGGCAUGUAUCUCUUAAUAUAACUGACUAAAUAUUAGUCCAGCUCUAAAAAGCAGUCUUCUAAAAAAAAAA